AUGGGGGUCCCCAAGGUGGACAUGGGGGUCCCACUGGUGACUAUGGGGGUCCCAUUGGUGGUCCUGACCCCAUUGGUGGCACUGGGGGUCCCUUUGGUGGCCAUGGGGGUCCCAUUAAUGACUAUGAUGGUCCCAUUGGUGGAGAUGGGGGUCCCAUUGGUGGUCCUGGGGGUCCUAUUGGUGGCCCUGGGGGUCCCCAAGGUGGCCAUGGGGGUCCCAUUGGUGACUAUGGGGGUCCCAUUGGUGGUCCUGUCCCCAUUGGUGGCCCUGGGGGUCCCCAAGGUGGCCNUCCCCAAGGUGGCCAUGGGGGUCCCAUUGGUGACUAUGGGGGUCCCAUUGGUGGUCCUGUCCCCAUUGGUGGCCCUGGGGGUCCCCAAGGUGGCCCUGGGGGUCCCACUGGUGACUAUGGGGGUCCCAUUGGUGACUAUGGGGGUCCCUUUGGUGGUCCUGUCCCCAUUGGUGCCUAUGGGGGUCCUGGGGGUCCUAUUGGUGGCCCUGGGGGUCCCCAAGGUGGACAUGGGGGUCCCAUUGGUGACUAUGGGGGUCCCAUUGGUGGUCCCAUUCCCAAGGUGGCCAUGGGGAUCCUAUUGGUUGUCCUGGGGGUCCCCAUUUAGUGGCUCUGGGGGUCCCAUAGGUGGUCCCAUCCCAUUAGUGGCCCUGGGGGGUUUCAUUGGUGGCACAGGGGGUCCUCAAGGUGGUCCUGUCCCCAUUGGGGUCCCAUUUAGUGGCAUUGGGGACCCUUUGGCGUCCCUAUGGUGUCCCUAUAGUGGCCAUAGGGUCCCAUUAGGUGGCACUGGGGACCCUUUAUUGUUCCUAUGGUGUCCCUGUAUUGGCCAUUGGGUCCCAUUAGGUGGCAUUGGGGUCCCUAUGGUGUCCCUAUAGUGGCCAUAGGGUCCCUAUAGUGGCCUUAGGGUCCCAUUAGGUGGCAUUGGGGUCCCUAUGGUGUCCCUAUGGUGUCCCUAUAGUGGCCAUAGGGUCCCAUUAGGUGGCAUUGG
rnacentral:lncRNA from 1 species